AGUCUGACGGAGCAACGCCGCGUGAGUGAUGAAGGUUUUCGGAUCGUAAAGCUCUGUUGUGAGGGAAGAACAAGCUCUGUUUAAAUAAGGCAGAGCCCUGACGGUACCUCACCAGAAAGCCCCGGCUAACUACGUGCCAGCAGCCGCGGUAAUACGUAGGGGGCGAGCGUUGUCCGGAAUUAUUGGGCGUAAAGCGCGCGCAGGCGGUCCUUUAAGUCUGAUGUGAAAGCCCGUGGCUCAACCACGGAGGGUCAUUGGAAACUGGGGGACUUGAGUACAGAAGAGGAGAGCGGAAUUCCACGUGUAGCGGUGAAAUGCGUAGAGAUGUGGAGGAACACCAGUGGCGAAGGCGGCUCUCUGGUCUGUAACUGACGCUGAGGCGCGAAAGCGUGGGGAGCGAACAGGAUUAGAUACCCUGGUAGUCCACGCCGUAAACGAUGAGUGCUAAGUGUUAAGGGGGUUCCACCCCUUAGUGCUGAAGUUAACGCAUUAAGCACUCCGCCUGGGGGAGUA
rnacentral:rRNA from 1 species